UGAGCAAUCUGCCCUUCUCUUUGGAAUAAGACGUUGGAAACGACGUCUAAUGCCGAAUACGACCUCCUUUCGCAUGAUCGGAGGUGGAAAGCUCCGGCGGAGAAGGAUGAGCUCGCGGCCUAUCAGCUAGUUGGUGUGGGUAAUGGCCCACCUAGGCGACGACGGGUAGCCGGCCG
rnacentral:rRNA from 1 species